rnacentral:rRNA from 1 species
CGAACGGGUGAGUAACACGUGAGUAACCUGCCCCGAAGACUGGGAUAACGACCGGAAACGGUCGCUAAUACCGGAUACCCCCAUUGGAUCGCAUGGUUCGAUGAGGAAAUGAAUUUCGCUUCGGGAGGGGCUCGCGGGCUAUCAGCUUGUUGGUGGGGUAAUGGCCCACCAAGGCUGCAACGGCUAGCUGGUCUGAGAGGACGACCAGCCACACUGGGACUGAGACACGGCCCAG